rnacentral:rRNA from 1 species
CCUACGGGGGGCAGCAGUGAGGAAUAUUGGUCAAUGGCCGGAAGGCUGAACCAGCCAAGUCGCGUGAGGGACGACUGCCCUAUGGGUUGUAAACCUCUUUUAUAAGGGAAGAAUAAAUGCUACGUGUAGAAGGAUGCCUGUACCUUAUGAAUAAGCAUCGGCUAACUCGGUGCAAGCAUCCGCGGAAAUACGGAGGAUGCGAGCGUUAUCCGGAUUGAGUGGGUUUAAAGGUUGCGUAGGCGGUUUUUUAAGUUAGUGGUUAAACGUCGGGGCUUCACCUUGAUUUGCCAUUACUAGUGUAAGACUCGAGUUCAGACGAGGUAGGCGGAAUAAGUUAAGUAGCGGUGAAAUGCUUAGAUAUAACUUAGAACUCCGAUAGCGAAGGCAGCUUACCAGACUGCGACUGACGCUGAAGCACGAGAGCGUGGGUAGCGAACAGGGUUAGAUACCCUGGUAGUC